GCCGGGGUGGUGAAACUGGUAGACACGCCGGAUUCAAAAUCCGGUUUCUUCGGAAGUGCCGGUUCGAUUCCGGCCCUCGGUACCA
rnacentral:tRNA from 17 species